UAUGAGAUAUGUGCUUUUGAAGGAAAUUUGAGUUGCGUGUGAUUAGUUAUUCUGAGGAUUGGUAUUUGGUAAGAAUGAAAAUUUAAACAAUAGUUUGAGAAUAUAUGUGACAUGAAUUCGGAAAUAAUUGGCUUGUUGAAAGGGAUGAUAACUAAUCUCUUGAGGUAAUAAAGUCAAGUUAUGAGUCCAUAUAAAUGAAGUUUUUCGAAGAUAUUCUUAAUGUGAUGUAAUUUGUUUUGAAUUGAUUUGAAGUUGUAUAUUUGUAAAUUCGAAGACGAAAUUUAUUUUUAGGAUGGUAGAUUUAGCUCCUAUAUCAAAGAAGCUGUAAUUUAAUACUAAUGAUAUUCAGUAACUUAAUUAAAUUCUCAAAACAUUAGAACAAAUUACAUUGAAAGAUAUAAUUUUUUCAUCUUAAUUUAAUUUCUUUGUUCAAAAGAUGAUUUUUGGAAAUAUAGAUGUGAUUUUUAAAAAAAGGAAAAAAAAAAAAAACUAUCUUAGUUCACUUACUGCGUGGCUUAUGGGAUAAGUGCCACCAUUUUUGCUAUGUGUCAAGAGUUUAAUCAUCCUCCAACUUUAUCUAAGGAAUGAAAACCCCAAAAGGCCAAAACCCACAUUUAAUACUUCUCUCGCUCUAAUCCCCGUAGCUCUCCUUGGUCCAUAAGACUUUCUGCCUCUUUUCAAUCUCACUCCUCUUUGUUGUCUAUUACUCUUACCCUGCCACUGGUCUUUUCCUCGGCGGUUUCGUCGCACCUCGGUGGCCCUGCCACUGUGCCCCUGUUUUUUUCCUCUCUGUUAUUGUCCGAUUGUGUGUGUGUUUCGCCGGUGACCCUCCGCCGCCACUAGCGUAGCUGGUGCUGUUGCUGUCGCUGCAUGCAUGUCGUUGUUGUUAUUCUUCACUCCCAUUGUUCAUAUCAGUUCCCUUUCUUUUGUUAAUUGGGUGGUAACAAAUCAAAGUCUUCCCUUCAUUGAUUUAAUGUUCACUACAAGAAAUUCAAUCAAAGAGGGCAAUUUAUUUGAAUCAAAUAGAGCAACUAGUUGAUUGCUUUAUUUAAAAGUAUCAACAAAGACAAAAAUAUUUUCCCUUUUUGUAUCAAUUAGGAAGACAAUUACAUUGUUUUGCCCUCUUUGAUAUCACUUAAGAAAACAAUUUCAAAUUUGCCCUGUUUGAUACCAACUAAGAAGAUGGUUUUUGCCCUCUUUGAUGUUAACCUAAAAGAACAAUCUAAAAUUUUGCGCUCUUUAAUAUUAACUUAAAAUAACAAUUGUAAAUUUUGCCCUCUUUGAUAACAUGAAACAACAAUUAUAUAACUUUGCCUUCUUAUAGUCAAGAAAAAAAAAAGACAAAAAAGUAUUAAAACAACAAAGUUCAAGUAUGAAUAGAACGUUCUACAAAAUUCCCGCAAACAACAAAGUAUGAAUAGAACCAUGGGUUGAAUAUGCAGUCUCUACAAAAUUUGUCCGAAAAAAUCUUCAAUCUCCAGUGAUUUUGGCAGAAAUCUUCCAUCGUAAUUUUCAAUCGAACAUUGAAAGGCAACCGUUCAUCUUCACUACAAGUUUUAGGGUUUUUCGCAGAUUUUUCUUCGUAAUUUUGGACGUUUGGACGUUUCUCGCAGAAUUUUCUUCGCAAUUUCCCAAUUUGAUCUCAUCUUCAGGUAAAUCAUUCAAUUCCGCUUUUUAAAUUAUGCAUAUGGAUGAUUGUUUCAGCAAUAUUAGUUUUCGUAAGUGAUUUCUUAACUUUCCCCCACAAAAUCAGACGAAUUUAGGUCUAGUGAUUGGAUAAUGAUUUUUAUGAAUCGAUUAUAUUUAGUGAUUAGUUUAAUGCAUUGAUUUGGUUGACCUCAUGAUAUUUAAAAAUUUUGGUGAAAAGCGGAUAAUCAUUUAAUUGUGAAUUUAUGAAUAUAUAAUUGUUACUUUUAGUUUUAUUAGAAAAAUAAUUUGAACGAAUGAUAUAGAUCUCAGCUGGAAAUGAAUGAUGUGAAUUACACAAAUUGUGAUAAUUAUAAUUUAAUUGUAGACACCUUGAUAUCGUCAAUUUCAGAGGGAGAAAUCGGAGGAUUAUCAGUUAGGUUAUGGGUUGGACAAUGUUUAAAAAAAAAAAAGGUUUACCAGGACACAAUUUGUCAACACAGAAAGCAGCAGAAUGCAAUGUCUACAUACAUGUUUCAGCCAACUAAGAAUGGAGGAAUGACAGGCAGCAGUGACUCUUUUCACUUUCAUAAGGCAUAUAGUGUACACUAGUGUCCAGCUGUUCUCUGAAUCACACUAUUUGUAAUUCUGUAUUACUUGACAUCUCCUCCUCCUCCCCUGAGAUUAUAUAAUGACUGAAAGUCUCUUGUUUGUUUGUGCAUACUAACAAUUUCCACUCGCCAAAAGCUUUAGAAUACUGUCCUAAGCAUUGUUUGAGAUUUUGUUUGUAGGAAUAGAUUGUGUAUAUCCAUUGAAGCUCUACAUGUAUAAUUCUAUAGGGUUGAGAUAUUUGACAGUUAGAAUAUGUAGUUUUCUGGAGUUGGAAGCAGUUGUUUGUUAACUGUUUCUUUUUAUAUUUCUCUUUUUUAUGCUGUAUGUUUUUAAUAUUUUGUUUGUCAAGUUAUUUCAGUUAUUUUUCGGGAAUUAUCAUGGAUAAUGAUAGAAGUUGGAUGCACAUCCAAGGGUUUAAUGGAAGGAAACAAGGAGAUUACAAGAAAUGUUUUUGGACUUUGCAUUUAAGGACAUCGCUCCUAAUUGAUGUCCUAUUGAGCAAAUGAUAUGUCAAUAGUGUCCCAGAUAUGGGUAAAUUGUGCAUAUCUCAGCACCCGAAUUAUAUCCAAAAUCCUCCUAGCUUUUCGCAGUAAGCUAGAGGAGAGCCUAAGCUAAAUCCGCACAGGUACUCAAGCUCUCUGAACCGAAACUUGCCGCACAAAGGCUCUAAUAUGCAUUCAAACCAUCCUUGUUACCGGGAUGGACAUUCAUCUGCUCCUGCAUCCACUUCAUCACCUUUACCCACCACCAACGUUGCUUCAGUUGCUCGUGUACAACAUGGAGCUGGCACAAUAUCACCACCCUUUGAAUAUGAGCAGGGUCUUGCUGGGCUUAUCUUGCUUGGUUUAGACAGCCUUAGAAAGGAUCAGAUUACGUGAACUGAGGAAAAUAUAAUAGACUCUAUUCGCUUUGGAGACACAAAGCACCGUAAUACUGAUGUGAGAAAGGCCCUUAACUGUGCAGUUAAGCAGAACAUGGUAGUGAAGCAAAUGCUGGGUCAAGUUCAGCUAUAUGUUAUUAAGAAGCAACUGGUGUGGAAGUGUGUAAAUCCAAUGGGAGCCAACCCUAACGAUUACCCAAAGGAACACAUGGGAUAAAGUUAAGGAGUGUCUUACUUCUUCUGAUGGACGAUCAGCCAUAAUUGCUUCAGCGUGCGGGUAUGAAGCUGCACUGAUCUUGAGAAAUUCAUGCCUACAAGAUCUUUCUCUGGGCAAAGCGCUCCAGAUAUUGAACAUGUUAAUUGCUCCAAAUCGAUGGAUAAAACACCAUCCAUCAGGAUGGCAGCCCGUUCCCAUUACACUAACCCAGGGUAAUGUUGCAACAGGUAAUGAAUCCGGUCCUUAAUUGAGGAUCUGCUAAAGGGAUGGAAAGUAAUACAAAUAUUAUAAUUUUGUCCACCAUAUUGUCAUGCUCUUAUUCGUGGACUACAAAGAAAUCUACUUUGAGGUGCUUUAUAGCUUUUGUCAGAUUGAAGGGAACUUGUUUACGGGAUGUGGGUGGUAAUGAUUGGUGUGGGUGGAGUAUUGGUGUUUAUGUUUUUAUCUAUGGAAGCAUUAAUUUCUCUAGAGAAAGGGAAGGUUGUAUGGCAGUCUUCUCUAAAAAGUAAGUUUUAAAGGCUCCAGAGUUAGUAUCUCUGUGCACCACAAAUUUUAUGCUACAAAUUUAUGUUACAAAUUAGGGGUAUAUGUCUGCGCUUCAAUAUGAAUUAUUGAGGCAUUACACAUUUCUGUCAACUUAAGAGUAUUAUGGCAUAGUUUAGGCCAUCUGGUAAUCUGUUGUGCCUACUGUCAGUGAGGAAGAGCUGAGAACUUGAUAUCUUUACAAGAUUCUGUACGGGGAGGUUAUCAGCUGAUCAGGUCCUAGAGUUCAGAAAUCAACAAGAAACAACAACAUAAUUCUCCUCCUCUAUCCCCAAACUCUGAAGUCCAAUGGAUUAAUACAUGUCAUUUGAGGAAAGAGCUGAGUCAUUUGCGCCCUAUGUCACGUAGGCUCAUAUACUCAUGUUGGGCAUUGAGACAUGUCAGAGGCUUAGACUGCAAUUACGUGCAAACUUUAUAUGUUUUUGUGGGCCAAAAUGAAUUGCCAAGUAUUUGUAUUUACAGUUUUCUUCUGUGGGGUUUAUGAAUAUUUGUGUUCUAUUGAAAAUUUUAAAGCAUUUGUGUCAAA